AGUGGCGUACGGGUGAGUAACACGUGGAUGAUCUACCUUUUAGUGGGGAAUAACCCUGGGAAACCGGGGCUAAUACCGCAUGAUCUCGUAAGAGGAAAGCAGCAAUGCGUUGAAAGAGGAGUCCGCGGCUGAUUAGCUGGAUGGCGGGGUAAUGGCCCACCAUGGCGAAGAUCGGUAGCCGGCCUGAGAGGGCACACGGCCACACUGGCACUGAAACACGGGCCAGACUCCUACGGGAGGCAGCAGUGGGGAAUCUUGCACAAUGGAGGAAACUCUGAUGCAGCGACGCCGCGUGAGCGAUGAAGCCCUUCGGGGUGUAAAGUUCUUUCGACGGGAACGAUAAUGACGGUACCCGAAGAAGAAGCUGCGGCUAACUACGUGCCAGCAGCCGCGGUAAUACGUAGGCAGCAAGCGUUGUUCGGAAUUACUGGGCGUAAAGAGUGCGUAGGCGGUGCUCUAAGUCUGUUGUGAAAUCUCCCGGCUCAACUGGGAGGGUGCGGCGGA
rnacentral:rRNA from 1 species